rnacentral:rRNA from 1 species
CCUACGGGUGGCAGCAGUGGGGAAUAUUGGACAAUGGGCGAAAGCCUGAUCCAGCCAUGCCGCGUGUGUGAAGAAGGCCUUCGGGUUGUAAAGCACUUUCAGUGGGGAAGAAAGCCUUGGGGCUAAUACCCUCGAGGAAGGACAUCACCCACAGAAGAAGCACCGGCUAACUCCGUGCCAGCAGCCGCGGUAAUACGGAGGGUGCGAGCGUUAAUCGGAAUUACUGGGCGUAAAGCGCGCGUAGGCGGUCUGAUAAGCCGGUUGUGAAAGCCCCGGGCUCAACCUGGGAACGGCAUCCGGAACUGUCAGGCUAGAGUGCAGGAGAGGAAGGUAGAAUUCCCGGUGUAGCGGUGAAAUGCGUAGAGAUCGGGAGGAAUACCAGUGGCGAAGGCGGCCUUCUGGACUGGCACUGACGCUGAGGUGGGAAAGCGUGGGUAGCAAACAGGAUUAGAUACCCUUGUAGUC